CCAAUGUCUUUCCUUAAAUCAUGGGAUGGAUCCCACAUAAUAAAAAGAAUUAGACCCCAAUUAUUAGCGACUGAAACUGUAGUUUUAAAAUUUAGAACUCAUAAAUUAAAAGUAUGGCUAUGCCUACGGGCACACCAAUACCUUGAUGGAAAUACUAGCUCUAUGCCACACCAUGAGCUUCGCCCAACACUGUGGAUUCACCAGCCUGGAAAUCACAAUGGACGUAGAGGAGGUAAUUAAUUUCAUUUAGAACGAUCAUCCACUAUAUUCUGAUAUUAUUCUAAUCAUGACAAACUGAUUAUAUAUUCUGUUGACAAUCACAUCAGAGUCAAAUACAUAAUAUCUCAAUUUUUAAAUUUUAAUUCCAGGAAGACAAGCUAGUCUCAUUCUUUAGCUUUCUUGGGAGACUUCAUCACAUUGAUGACAUAGCGACCAACACCAAGAACCAACAGAGCAACCAGGGUCAUGUUUAUCACUUCCUUUCGCAUCUUCAGCUUUGCGAACAAAUCACC
rnacentral:lncRNA from 1 species